AUGCCUGCCGACUUACCUCCGGAGUGGGAUGCCAUGCCUGCCAACGAGCAGUUGUUGUGGUAUCACAAGAGAUUAUGUGCUAAGGCAGAGGAGAUGAGCGCACUAUUGGGUGUUGCAAGCGCUGGUGACCCUCAUGUGGUUACCUCGCUUGUCGAUCCGGCAGCGUCAACCAUGACGCACACCUCGUCCAUGCUCGUCCCCAACGUCUCCUGCUCCACCACGAAGGCCCUGGAGAUUCCCAAGGUCGCCCAUGAUGCAACCCCGGUCUGCAUCGCGAUGUUGCCUAUCACCUGUUCGACGGAGUGCUCGACCCAGGUCGACACCAUCGACAACAUUGACGAGGUCCAUGAUCCCGCCACCGCCGUCGACCUCGAGCCCACGGUCGUCCCCAUCCACCAAGCAGUCGAGCAGCUCGCCCCGGAGCAGGCAAUGGCCUCUAGUGUCGAGGUCGUUUCUCAUGUGAAGACCACCACCGACGUCGACCCCAAGGCCGGCGUGCAGGAGCUCGAUGCCCUCUCUGUCGACACCUCCCCCCAAGUGAUGAGCAAGGCAGACCUCGACGUCGCCCUCAUCUUCUCCAGCGACCCUGCUUUGCCGGUGCUCACCAUGUGUUCGACAGGCAGUCUAAUCCAGGAUGGCGCAUGGGUGAAACCUGUUCAUCUUGUGGACAAGAGCAAAACCUCAGUGCAUACAAAGGCACUACAGAUUGUGGACGAAUUAGGUAGUACCUUUCAAGUGGAAUUAUGCCAUGCUGGUGAUCUUAAGUGCAACCUCCCUCGACACUGCAUAACGAUACCCCGUGUUCAUAUUUUCUGCUUGUCGUCUUUGCAACAGAACACUGAUGAUUCAUGUUUCGCUAAGAAACUAUUACAUGAAGUCUGCUUUAUGCAGUCCUCUUAUAAAUUAUGUGCUCAAAAGGCACCAUCGGUGUUCAAGUUCAGUCACAAAAUUGUUCGCCUGAAGCUACCAAAUUACACGAAUGAAGGCAUUCCAUGUGUCCAGCCAACAUAUUACCUUGAAGGAGGCUCUGCUCAAGCAUAUUUGAAACUGCACGAAGUUUUGGCUGCUGUUGUUUACAUGUUUGAGGGUAGUACUAUUCAGAUCUGGGAGUUGUUUCUCUGUUUCGAGCGUCCACUGGACCAGGCAACACUCAAUACUAAACAGAUGCAGUUUGACUACAAGGACUUGCAGUUUGGUCCAUGCUACGUACCGCAGCAAAGUUUCAAUGGUCAUGACAAGCUCCUUCACAGCAAGCAGCGAUUGGGUGCUCUAAGUACAACACUUCCAAGUAGUGUCUAUAUUCAGUUCGUGCAAUUUUGGCCAUUAUUGUCUUUUGCUCCAGCUGGUAUCACGAUGCAAUGGCAGUGGGACAAGCAUCAAUCGCGGGACAAAAAUUCACAACAUAUUUUUAUGUUGCCUCAACCCCUUUCUGAACCAAUAUUAUGUGAGGUUAACCAUGGCUGGUAUUUCGACACUCUCAAACUAUUUGCGAUUCAGGCUGUACAAUUUGCAACAGAGAUUCAUUAUUCAGAUUCCAGUCUAUUUGGUAGUGUAUCAUUCUCCUUUGGGCAUAAACAAAUGUUUUGCUGGACUCCAGAUACGCCAGCUAGUGGCGACCACCUUGAGCAAUUGUGGGAUCCUGGAGGCCUUGCAAGCUACAUAUGCAGUACAUGUGCAUUGACUUCCCUAGUGCAUUAUUUGUUUGCAGUUUGGCUUGCAUAUGCGACUCCUAUAUGCAUCCAGUUGGGAAUGGAGAAGCCAAUGGCCAGCGGCGAACUAAAUCAGGGGAUGACCAUCCAUUUCUUGCCUGGAACAUUGGAGCUUGAAUGCAGACUUGACAAGCUCAUAGCAAUACAGGGGUUCUUGCUGCCAUUAUAUUGCCAGUCAUGCAAGUCCAUGAGGAGUGGACAAAUCUGUGUGUGGGGCACACCUCAUGGUCUAGGAUGCUUCACAGUCAUCCAGGAAGGCUAUGGGACUUCAGCUUCCGAUCGAGGCACUUUUCAAGGAGGGAGGGUUUUCAUCACCAAUGUCGUUGUCGUCAUCGUGCAAGGCUCCAUCCACCACAAGUACUAUCUCAACUUCGAUCAAGACUAUGUUGGCAACGACCACUUCUGCGGCGCCUCUUGGGAUGGAGUCACCAUCGGCCACGGCUACUCCAACCUUGUCGUUCAAGCCAACCCCGACUUCGACUACCAUCAAGACUUCAAGCUAGUCAAGGAACGCCGCAUGCAAUGGGAUCAUGGCGGCUCUUGGUGGUGUCGGCUUGGGGUCAAGCCGCAUUUCAAGGAGGGGGAUGUU
rnacentral:rRNA from 1 species